rnacentral:tRNA from 5 species
GCGGGUGUAGUUUAGUGGUAGAACAUCAGCUUCCCAAGCUGAGAGUGCGAGUUCGAUUCUCGUCACCCGCUC